UCUAUCAGAUGCUGAAAUUGAGCAAAUGAUUCGUGAUGCUGAAGCCCAUGCCGCUGAAGAUGCCAAAUUUGCUGAACUUGCGCAAGUACGUAACGAAGCAGAUGGCCGUAUUCAUGGCGUACAAAAAGCCAUGAAAGAUGCCGCUAACAAAGUGACCGAUAGCGACAAAGCCGCAGUAGAAGAAGCUAUCAAAGCGCUAGAAUUGGCGGUAAAAGAAGAUAAUCUAGAUGACAUCAAGUCAAAACUUGAAGCCCUAGACAAUGCCUUCUUACCGGUUAGUCAAAAAAUUUACGCUGAUGCAGGCGCGACUGCAGGAGCAGGUGAUGCACAGCCACAACAAACCCAGCAAGAUGAUGGGGUUGUCGAUGCAGAAUUCACCGAAGUAAAAGAUGACAACAAAUAAUCAUUUAACCGGUUAAAUCAUCAAUAAAAUACCGCCUUACGGCGGUAUUUUUUAUUUUAUUUGAAAAUUUUAAAAAAAAAGUGUUGACACCCAUUCCAAUUCACGUAUAAUACGCCACCACUGAGCGACAAAGAGUUUACAAAUAAGUAAACAAGUUACGAAGCUUAGAAAGAAUUAAAAUAAAGCUUGACAGAGCAAACCAAAGCGUAUUACAAUAUCAAACUCACCAAAUGAUAGACGAUAUCUUUGGUACAUUAAAUAACAACGAACACAAGAACAACUUGUGUGGAUUUUCACUUAGGGCGAUAAAAUUAAGACUUUAAUUAAUUAUAUUGUCAGAGUGAAGAUACUCGUAAGUUUAUUUGAGCAAAGACAGUAUAAAUAAUUGAGUCAACAAAUUAAAUCUAUUGACACCGCUACGCGGUGACAAUAGAUAGAAAGAUUAAACUGAAGAGUUGAUUAGUGGCGGACGGGUGAGUAACAUUUAGGAAUCUGCCUAGUAGUGGGGGAUAGCUCGGGGAAACUCGAAUUAAUACCGCAUACGACCUACGGGUGAAAGGGGGCGCAAGCUCUUGCUAUUAGAUGAGCCUAAAUCAGAUUAGCUAGUUGGUGGGGUAAAGGCCCACCAAGGCGACGAUCUGUAACUGGUCUGAGAGGAUGAUCAGUCACACCGGAACUGAGACACGGUCCGGACUCCUACGGGAGGCAGCAGUGGGGAAUAUUGGACAAUGGGGGCAACCCUGAUCCAGCCAUGCCGCGUGUGUGAAGAAGGCCUUUUGGUUGUAAAGCACUUUAAGCAGGGAGGAGAGGCUAAUGGUUAAUACCCAUUAGAUUAGACGUUACCUGCAGAAUAAGCACCGGCUAACUCUGUGCCAGCAGCCGCGGUAAUACAGAGGGUGCGAGCGUUAAUCGGAAUUACUGGGCGUAAAGCGAGUGUAGGUGGCUCAUUAAGUCACAUGUGAAAUCCCCGGGCUUAACCUGGGAACUGCAUGUGAUACUGGUGGUGCUAGAAUAUGUGAGAGGGAAGUAGAAUUCCAGGUGUAGCGGUGAAAUGCGUAGAGAUCUGGAGGAAUACCGAUGGCGAAGGCAGCUUCCUGGCAUAAUAUUGACACUGAGAUUCGAAAGCGUGGGUAGCAAACAGGAUUAGAUACCCUGGUAGUCCACGCCGUAAACGAUGUCUACUAGCCGUUGGGGUCCUUGAGACUUUAGUGGCGCAGUUAACGCGAUAAGUAGACCGCCUGGGGAGUACGGCCGCAAGGUUAAAACUCAAAUGAAUUGACGGGGGCCCGCACAAGCGGUGGAGCAUGUGGUUUAAUUCGAUGCAACGCGAAGAACCUUACCUGGUCUUGACAUAGUGAGAAUCUCUCAGAGAUGAGAGAGUGCCUUCGGGAACUCACAUACAGGUGCUGCAUGGCUGUCGUCAGCUCGUGUCGUGAGAUGUUGGGUUAAGUCCCGCAACGAGCGCAACCCUUUUCCUUAUUUGCCAGCGGGUUAAGCCGGGAACUUUAAGGAUACUGCCAGUGACAAACUGGAGGAAGGCGGGGACGACGUCAAGUCAUCAUGGCCCUUACGACCAGGGCUACACACGUGCUACAAUGGUAGGUACAGAGGGUUGCUACACAGCGAUGUGAUGCUAAUCUCAAAAAGCCUAUCGUAGUCCGGAUUGGAGUCUGCAACUCGACUCCAUGAAGUCGGAAUCGCUAGUAAUCGCAGAUCAGAAUGCUGCGGUGAAUACGUUCCCGGGCCUUGUACACACCGCCCGUCACACCAUGGGAGUCUAUUGCACCAGAAGUAGGUAGCCUAACGAAAGAGGGCGCUUACCACGGUGUGGUCGAUGACUGGGGUGAAGUCGUAACAAGGUAGCCGUAGGGGAACCUGCGGCUGGAUCACCU
rnacentral:rRNA from 1 species